GAGGAGGGAAUAAGACCUGCUAACUCUUUAACCUGGAACUAGCCUCCAGCCUCCUC
rnacentral:tRNA from 1 species